AGGACACUUGCCACGUUUUCCAUACUGGUCCGAUAAAUGUCUGUCUGUAUCUACAAACGAUGGAAGUGGAAGGUAAACAGUUAAUUGUGGUUACAAAACAUGGAGGGAAAAUGAGGAACGGUGGACGUUUGCAGAAUUAUAUAAAUCUUGGAAAACUCCUGUCACUUCGUCACUCUUAGAUCCAAACAAAUCUCUUCAGAACCCUCUUCUCAAACACCCUCAG